rnacentral:tRNA from 1 species
GCCCCCGUAGCUCAGGUAGAUAUAGCGAGGCACUCCUAACGCCCAGGCCACUGGUUUGAAUCCAGUCGGGGGUA